rnacentral:rRNA from 1 species
AACGAACGCUGGCGGCAGGCCUAACACAUGCAAGUCGAACGCUCUAGCAAUAGGGAGUGGCGCACGGGUGAGUAACGCGUAGGAAUCUACCCAUUAGCCUGGGAUAACAGCGGGAAACUGCUGCUAAUACCGGAUACGCCCCUUCGGGGGGAAAGGUUUACUACUAAUGGAUGAGGCUGCGUUAGAUUAGCUAGUUGGUGAGGUAAUGGCUCACCAAGGCUCCGAUCUAUAGCCGGUCUGAGAGGACGAUCGGCCACACUGGGACUGAGACACGGCCCAGACUCCUACGGGAGGCAGCAGUGGGGAAUAUUGGGCAAUGGGCGCAAGCCUGACCCGGCCAUGCCGCGUGAGUGAUGAAGGCCUUAGGGUUGUAAAGCUCUUUUAGUAGUGAAGAUGAUGACAGUAGCUACAGAAAAAGCCCCGGCUAACUUCGUGCCAGCCGCCGCCGUAAAAC